UCUCACUGGUGACAGGACGGGGGGAAAUGGCCUCAAGCUGCAUCAGGUGGGGAGGACAGGGACAAGAGGCAGCAGGCCCAAAAAAUGCUCCUGCAGAUCAUCAGCCAGAGGGGCUCCUGUGCCUACGGACAUCAACGCCUGUCAUUGCAGGAGGAAGCCCACUAGGACACACAUCUGCAGCUCUUCUGCCACCUCUGGAGGCAAUGCUGGUAGCAUCUCAUGACUUUCCGUAGUACGAGCGAGGCCAGAAAUGCCAAUAAGGGAUCAAGCCAGGGCGGCAGCAGCCUCAGGCACCUGAAUGUGCUGGCACCUUUUGCCUGUAGAGAGACAACCACAUGCUGCUACUUAGGAGUGGACAACGCUCCUUUUCAACAAGGAGAAUACCAACUCCCAAUCUCACCAACAGGCUGUGGGAGGCAGGAAGUUCCAACCACGCUGUCUCCUCACAGGGAACCAGGCAGAAAAAACCCCAUACCCUUCCCGACCUUCCCUCCGGUGCCCCCUCCCCCCAUGCCCAUUUAGGGCAGCCCACAGGAAAAACAAACAAACAAACAAACAAAACAACAACAAAAAAAACUUGUCCCCUUAACUCCCAUUAUCCUACAUGAUAUUCUGAUGUGGAAUAGCAAA